ACUAGCAUUUUGUGGGGGUGGGUAAUAUGUGUAGACAAUACAUUUAUUUGGUUUGAUUGUCACAUACACAACCAUCUGGUUUCUCUGUGGGACUCAGACUUUUUGGCAAGCAUAUAUGUCAUGAUCUGUUUAGGUCCCUAGAUCCUCAUGUUGUUCUAUUGCUUCUUAUUUUUGCAAACCAUUCUUUUAAAAUCUUCUUGAACAGGUAAUGUUUCCACAUGUGUAAAAUCCCCUGUACCUACACAUAGCACUAGCACGUUGGGAAAACCAUACAUGGCAAAAAAUCCUUCUUUGACCUCCAUUUCUGCUGAUACAUUGGAGAAGUGAACACAUUUUACACACUGGGCAAAUAUUGCAUUCAGGUGCUGAGACAGGUGGUGUGAGACAGACGCCUGUGGUCUCCUAUGAGCUUCUGCAAUGAGCACAUGGCACGGCAUCUGAAGGAAGAAGAAAUACAACUGAAAAAUGAAGCGUAUGCAUUCAGUGAGGAAGCUGUGCAGCACCUUGAAGAUGCUGUUGAAGCUAUUAAGAAACUGGAAAAAUUAAGAAGACAUACCCUUGAACUUCUAGAAGAGGAGACUAUAAAAAAUAGUAAUCUCCGUUUAAAACUCCAGAAUCUUCCAGAAAUGGUUACCAAGGAGUUGGAAGCUCUUGUUGCUGCGGCCCGUGAAUCCAGUACUGCUAAGAUAAAUCAAUUACAGACUGCACUGAAAAACAUCACGUGUGAAAUCGAAUCACUGAAUCGGGAACAAAUCCUUUGUGAAACACAGAAUGCUGCUAUGUGUAAGGAGCAAGAGUGGCUGUGGGUCCAGCAUGAAGAAGCUGUAGCCUUACUGAACCAGCAGAUGGCACAAAAAGCUAACACAAAUAUACUUUUAAAUGAGUUUUGCAACAAAAAAAGGGAUGCAGAACAAGAAAUAAUCAACCUAACGAAUGCUGUGCAAGAAGUGAAAGAUGUUCUAGCUAAAGAAAUAAAAAUAUUUAAUGAUGAAAAAGAAGUGUGGGCUAGAAAGAACGCAGAGAUGAAAACAAAACUUGAUCUUCAGAAGGCAAAAACUUCAGGAAAAAAGGAUGAAUUUGAAGAAUUGUCCAAAAAGCUAUCAGCUGUGCAGUCUGAGAUAGCUCAAAAUACAGCGACUAUUUUUAAUGAGAAAGUUCAGAUAGCACAACUGAAAGAAAGAACCGAACAACUAAUAAUGGAAUUAGAACUUAAAAUAACGGAAAAGCUGGAACUCUGCAAAAGGAAAUAUAGCCUCGAUUCUGACCUCCUCCUUUUGCAAUCAAAAAUUGCCCAAGAAAGAGAGCAUCUAAAUAUUGAUAUAGCAACGGCUAAGGAAGAAUUAAGUACAGCUGAAGGCCUGAAUAGAAAACUUAAACAUGAAAAUAAAUUUAUAAGUAGCCAGUAUCGAAUAUUACUGACGGAAGAGGAACACUUACAUGCAAAAAGGGACGAGGCAGCAACAGAGCUUGAACGAUUAUCCAGUUGGCUGGAUGAAAGACUUGACAUUAUGUCAAAGCGUGUGGUGGAGGAGCAAAACUUGGAGGAUGAAGUUGAGAGACUCGAAGAUAUCUUUCAAAACACAAAGGAUGCCUAUGCAAGAGAACUAGAGAAUCUAGAGCAAUGUUUAAAGAGAGAAAGUGAGAUGAGAGCUUUGCUUCAGUGGAAGCAACUUCACCUGGCAAAGAAGAAGGAACUCUUGUGGGUAACAGAGGAGAAAUUCAUGAAUGAAAUGAAUGUAAGACUUGAGACUGGUAAAAAACGUCAUGCUGAGCUAAGUGGAGAGAAUGAGUAUUUCCGAAAAGAAAUUUUGCAGGCUGAGGAACAGGUCAAACACCUUAGUGAUGAUAUAAAUAAAAGGGAAGCUGAAUGCGAGAAGUAUGAAAACAGCUUAAUAGAAGACAUACAAUGGCUUGAGGAUGAUGUCAAAGGUAAAACUGAAGAGAUAUAUCAAAAAGAACAACAACUAAUUCUGAGCAUCCCUCUCAUAGAAGUAAGACAGAAAGAGUUGGAAGAGAAGCAUGAAAAAUAUGAAGACUUGAAAAAAGUAGUCUCAGAACUAAAAGAUGAAGAGACAAGACUGACAAAAUCCAUUGAUCGGUCAGUCAGGAUGAUUGGUAAACUCAAGAAGAUCAUGGCUGAGCUGAAGAAUGAAUUAAGAAUAAAGCGUGACCUGGCAUUUGACCAGUUGAAAGAGCAUACAGAAGUUCUGAAGUUGCUAGAGAGGGACAUCUAUGAGGUCGACAGGAAGCUCGACAUUGUGAAGACAGAAAACUGCAGACUGAAAUUAUGCAAUGCACAGAUGAAAGCAGAUAUUUUGACAAUGAGCCAUGAAGCCGAAAACCACAAAUCAACAACAGUAAAAAUUCUGAGUGAUCUGACAGUCCUUCAUCAGCUUUUUCUGAAGGGAUGGUCAGAGGACAGUAGCAUGCAAAAGGAAUUUGUGGCGAAUGAGAAGGAAAUCAUGGCUGCAAUAGCAGAUCUUGUAAUGAAACUUCAUCAGAGAGAGAAAAAGAUUGAUUUUAUUAACAAAGGGCUACAAAAUAACUUUGAUGGACUGGAUUCUUUGUUAGAAAGUAAAUUCAGCACAGAACCCAAUGUUUCUGAAGGAUAGAAUAUUGGAGUAAAAAGGAAAAGGCUGAAUUUACAGAACUGCAAUGAAGCUUGGAACAGCAUUCCUACUACCUAGGGAGCGAGGCCAAUGCUGCUUUGGAGAGGCAAUCUUCUUAACCAGAAGCGGUCGGAGCAGCAUCAUCAACACCAGACAGAAGGCAUAGUAUAUAAAUACAAUGGUGUAUCUAUA